rnacentral:lncRNA from 1 species
AGCAGGUUAGCUCCAUGGGCUUUCGCAGCCCGGUCCGCUACAACAUUUGACUCCCUUUUGCAAUGGGAAACCCUAAGAUUAGGGCAUCGAAGGAGAAGGUCUGCAUUUUCGUCGAAGAGGCAACGGAGCUCCCAUGGCGUCAGAGUCGGAUUACGGAUGGCAUUCACCAAUGUUAAACAGUCCGAUUCCAGGUCUAUUCGAUCCAUCUCCAGUCCUUUCUGUAUCACGAAUUUCAGUGUGAGAUUCAACGCUAUCACCUCUGUUUGCAGGGCCGAAGAUGUAGAGACAGAUUUCGCAAAUCCAUCGAUUAAUAUGCCUGAAGAAUUUCUGCACACACAAGCAACGGAAGCUUCGCUGUCGAAAGGUUGGUAAGCCGCGUCGAUAUUUAUCUUGAUUACUCCUUGAUCCGGUGGAAUCCAUCGUAGAUCUGUUGCUGACUGUGGUGAACCCCUUUCUUCCGAGUAGCAUUGAAAGAUCGGUUGGAUCUGGCAGAUACGAGGGCCGCUUGCACCACAAAUUCGGCAUUUGGUAGCUGCUGGCGAAAGAUGAAAGUAUUCCUUGCUUUCCAGAUGUGCCAUAGGAGAGCGGAAAUUAAUUCCAGAUCCG